GCCUCGGUGGCUCAGCCUGGUAGAUGCGUCUCGCACCCGCAAGGUCGCGGGUUCAAACCCCGCCCGAGGCU
rnacentral:tRNA from 1 species